AAGUCGUAACAAGGUCUCCGUAGGUGAACCUGCGGAGGGAUCAUUACAGAGUUCAUGCCCUAACGGGUAGACCUCCCACCCUGUGUUAUUGUACCCUUAUUGCUUUGGCAGGCCGUCGUCAAGCCUCCGGCUGGCGCUGGGGUGUGCCUGCCAGAGAACCUAAACUCUGUUUUACUGUCGUCUGAGUACUAUAUAAUAGUUAAAA
rnacentral:misc_RNA from 1 species